rnacentral:lncRNA from 1 species
GCCGGGGCGUCCCCCGCGGGAGCCCGCAGCCACCCGGGACGCGCAUCCAGACGUGGCGCUUCGGACCGGGCACGCUGCGCCCGGGGGCUCGGCGGACCCCGCGUAGCCGCCGCUUCGGAGCUUGUGCGGCGCGGGCUGGCCAGCGGGGCGGCCAGGGCCCGGCCCGCCUCCCCAGCGCCCGCCCGGCUUCUCCCCCUGGCGGUGGGAGCCUCGGCGGCCGCUGGCGACACUAGGCGCACUGAAGCCCGAGCCGAGCCGAGCCCGAGCCGCCGCCGCCGCCGCCGCUGCUGCGCACCGCUCCCGGGCUCCCUCCCAGCGCGCCGGCCGGGGUGUGGGGGGCGGCGGGCCGGAGGGGCGAGGGCGGGCCAGGGGGCGCACACGGGGGUUGGCGCGGAAGACAGGACCCUCAGCCUCGAGGGAGCCCCUAGGUGACCAGGCAAAAUGGCAGUUCCUUCCAGCUGGUCCUCAGAUGGGCACAUCUAUUAGCCUCUGCUCUUGUAAGAAGUUAGCUGCAGAACCCACAUGUGAAUCCUUGUAGGACUCUGGAGAAGAUCAAAUGGGAGCUUAGAUGUGGAAGCUCUUUGGAAACCAAGAAACACUCUGAAAAUGAAAAGGGUGGAAGAGUAAACUGUUCCUGUUUCUCCAUCUUGACAGGAAGCAGAAGUUCUCCUUAGCUGAUUUUUCUUCUUGCCUUAUACUGGGUUCUUUAACACCAGAACAAAAAUAAAUAAAUAAAAGAAUCUUCCAGAAAUUCAUGAAGAGACUUCAGGUCAGGAAAGCCUGAACUUUCUCAUCCAACACCCGUUCAAGUCGGAGGAUGCUGAUUAAUUCAUGAUGGAAAGGUAUCAAUUUCACAGCCCAGACCUCUACAUUCUUGAAAUGCUCUUCUCAUGGGAGACAUUAAAUAAGCUUUGAAUUAACUAAAAAUAUCCAACCCGAGCAGGAUAAAACUGAUCAUCCUGAGGAUAUUGCCCUUGGAGUUAAUUUUUUGAGAGAAAUAAAACAAUAAACAUCAUAAGACACAAACCCCAAGCAACUGAUCUCACUGUUAAAAUCCAACCUGAGAACAAUGGAAUGGAUAAUGGUCAUUUCAACUGUCUUUGAGUCUGGAGGUUGCUUUUAACAAACUGAAUUGUAUUGCUGCUGGGCUAGUUAACAUUCAUAUUAGACUUUCAAAACAGUGUGGAGAAAACAGUCAGCUCUUUGAUGGCAUUUAUGAUGGACACACAGCUGGGCUAAUGAAGACAAUAUGUCAAGGCUUGAAGAGCAAUGAUUUUACAGAUUUUUGAGACAUCUAUUUGGGUUUAUAGAGCUGAUUUCCUCUUUGGAGGCUGCAUUCUGAAUUAAUGAUAACCACCUUUAUAGAGAAAACAUUGAAUAUGAAGUGUCCAAGGAAUUUAGGCUAAAGAAGUAAUUCUAGGACUAGUCAGACAAAGAGAAAUACUGUCUGAAAUGACUGAAU